GGGAAAGUUGAAAAGAACUCUGAAUAGAGAGUUAAAUAGUACGUGAAACUGCUUAGNGGNUAAGCCCGAUGAACCUGAAUAUCCNUUAUGAAAAAUUCNUUAUUAUACCNGUAGUAUUAAUUUUAUUAAUAUUNAUNGNGNUNGUANNCAUUUUUUNCAUNUANGGNCAUNGUANUCUAUUANCNUANUAAAAUAUUUAUCAAAAGAUCAUUGGUUUUAAGUUUAUUCAAAUUAAUUUGCUUUUAGCUUAUUAACAUAGAAUAAAUACUAAUGAUUUGAUAAAGUGUUGAUAGAUUUUAUUAUANAUAAUGCUAAAAUUCUUUGGAAUUUUACAAUANUUUUAUAAUCUAUGAUUUUAAUAUUUAUUGUAUGCAUUUAUAUGAUUAACAAUGCGAAAGAUUCAGGAUACCUUCGGGACCCGUCUUGAAACACGGACCAAGGAGUCUAACAUAUGUGCAAGUCAUUGGGUUAUUUUAAACCUAAUGGCGUAAUUAACUUAACUAUUAAUAUUUUAAUGGGAUUAGUUUUUAGUCUAUUUUUAAUAGUCUAUUAAUUCAAUCCCGGGGCGUUCCAUAUAGUUAUGUAUAAUGAUAAUU
rnacentral:rRNA from 1 species